rnacentral:sRNA from 1 species
GCCGGGCAUGGUGGCACAUGCCUGUAGUCCCAGUGGCUCGGGAGGCUGAGGCAGAAGGAUUAUGAGUUCAAAGCCAGUUUCAGCAAAAGGAAGGCAAUAAGCAACUCAGUGAGACCCUGUCUCUA